GGAUGCGAUCAUACCAGCACUAAAGCACCGGAUCCCAUUAGAACUCCGAAGUUAAGCAUGCUUGGGCGAGAGUAGUACUAGGAUGGGUGACCUCCUCGGAAGUCCUCGUGUUGCAUUCC
rnacentral:rRNA from 1 species